rnacentral:misc_RNA from 1 species
UAGGACUACUAGGGUUUCUAAUCCUGUUCGCUACCCACGCUUUCGCGCCUCAGCGUCAGUUGUCGUCCAGAAAGCCGCCUUCGCCACUGGUGUUCCUCCCAAUCUCUACGCAUUUCACCGCUACACUGGGAAUUCCACUUUCCUCUCCGACACUCAAGAGCAUCAGUUUCAGAUGCACACCCGAAGUUAAGCCUCGGAAUUUCACAUCUGACUUGCAUCCCCGCCUACACGCCCUUUACACCCAGUAAUUCCGGAUAACGCUCGCCACCUACGUAUUACCGCGGCGGCUGG